CUGACCAGGACGCAUGGGUCGACGUUCGUGCAACGAGCCCCCUUCACCUGCUGACGCAGGAGGAUGCGACCAGAAGUCAG
rnacentral:ncRNA from 1 species